GAAUAUCAAGAUUUUGGAUUUUGGAGUGUGUUGUCUUUCAAAAAAUGUUGUUGAAUCUUCAAAAUGUUGCAACUCUGCUGUGCCUGAUCUUUCAAGGGUGGAGCUCCACCUCGCUCGACCUUGAGUCCUGGAGUCAGAGGUGCCCGACCCUUCGAGGGAGGGACUCCGCCUCGCCCGACCCCGGGUCCUGGGGUCGGAGGCGCCCGACCCUUCGAGGGUGGAACUCCGCCCCGCCCGACCCUAGGUCCCAGGGUUGGAGUAGUCAGAGCCUCCAUCAUGUAAGCUAAGCUUCGCGUGUAGUAGUCCCGAGAGUCGAGUAGUCGUAAUGCUGUUUGAGUACUCGUCUCCUGAAGGACACGGGUGUACUGUACUCAGCUGUCCUUUGUUAAUGUACGGGUGUACUGUUGUCUUUUGUCCGUUGCAGAGGCAUGGGUGUAUUGUGCUCCUUUGUCUGUUGCAACAUGAGUGCAGGCACAUGGGCAGAGUCAGAAUUUGUCAGACCUAUUGAUCACGGGUGCGCAGUAACUCUUUGGCCGGUGGUAGGUGUAGCUUUCGGC
rnacentral:lncRNA from 1 species